GCAAUAUGCUCAAAUACUGUUUAUCAGUAAACUUGACACUCCCCCUACUGCCGCAACGCUCAGUUUUACUAUUGCUCUCUCUUUGCAAGGGUGAUGAAUGUCGAAAUGAAAUAGAGCCCUUUUUCCCCAAUGGGUCAUUAGAACCCCUAAGACGAAGUGGUCGUUGUGGAGAUAUAGAAUGAGACCUUUGCCUCUGUGAUGUACUAUCAUUUGAAACCAUA
rnacentral:misc_RNA from 1 species